UCGACUGUUUACCAAAAACAUAGCUUACAAGAAAAAUUUUAAGUGGAAUCUGGUCAAUGGAGAGUAUUUAAAAAAAUCUCUUUAAAUUCAUGCCUUAUAAUGAGGGUAAUAAAGUAGCAUAAUAAAUAGGCAUUUAAUUGGUGUCUAGUAGGAAUGGUUAAACGAUUGUAAUAUUGUCUCAAAAUUUAAAAAAAAAGUUAAAAUAAUAGUUAAGAUUCUAUUAAUAAAAAGUUAGACAAAAAGACCCCGUAAACCUUUACUAUAGUCAAAAAAUUUUUUUUUAAAAAAAUAAUAAAGAAAAUUUUUUUGAUAGGUAGUUUAGCUGGGGCAGCUAUCUUUUAAAUAAAAAAAGAUUUUUAAAUUUGUUUAUUAUAUAAGAUUAACAAAAAAAAAAUUUUUUUGACCUUAUAAAAAUUUACUAUUUUUAUAAUUUUUUAGGUAAAAGGUACUUUGGGGAUAACAGCGAAAUUAUAAAAAUAGAGAAGAAAUCAAAUUUUAUGUUUGCGACCUCGAUGUUGAAUUUAGUUUUCCCUUAGCUGUAGGGGGUUAAAAAGGUUAAACUGUUCGUUUAUUAAAAACUUACAUGAUUUGAGUUCAUUCCG
rnacentral:rRNA from 1 species